GAGAGCUCGCUCCAAGUUCCUCUCCGGCUUUCCGCUCUCCGGACUCUCUCUCUCUCCCCCUUUUCCUUUUCUUCUUCAAACUCUUCGUCUUCGCACGCCGAUUGUUCGCGCCACGCGAAACGGAAUCGCGCGGCGUUCGCGCGCGUGCGACGUCUCCUCUCUCGCUCCGCUCGUCGGCUUCGAAAGCCGGGGGGCCGCGUGUGUGCUACGGUUUUUGGAGAUUUAAGUCGGCGGGGAUAGUGAUACUUCGUCAUCGACAUUCGUCGCCGAAUCCCCGCGGGACUUGACAACAGAGUCGUGACUGGCGAUCUAUCAAACAUGUUACGCUUCGUGAUACUUCUGCUUUUAUGUAUCGCCGCUACUUACACGCCUGGUCACUGCGAGAACAAGAGUGAGUAUUUCUUUUUUUCUUACUUUUAUACGCGAAAGAUUCGCAAUUGUACAUCGUAGUUUUGUAUAUCUGUUAUUUGCCAUUUAUUG